rnacentral:rRNA from 1 species
UACGGAGGGUGCAAGCGUUAUCCGGAUUCACUGGGUUUAAAGGGUGCGUAGGUGGGUCUGUAAGUCCGUGGUGAAAUCUCCAAGCUUAACUUGGAAACUGCCAUGGAUACUAUCAGCCUUGAAUGUCGUGGAGAUGAGCGGAAUAUGUCAUGUAGCGGUGAAAUGCUUAGAUAUGACAUAGAACACCAAUUGCGAAGGCAGCUCGUUACGCGAAUAUUGACACUGAUGCACGAAAGCGUGGGGGAUCAAACAGG